CUUGUUAAAGUGCAGCUGACAGAUAGGUAGGAUAGUUUUUCCAUGUUUUUCUCCUUACAAGAGGGAUGGAGUUUUUUCAUAAGGCAAGGGAGUCUUUAACUACUUUUUGCUUUAUUUAAUGUAGCUCAUUAGCAUUAUUCCUUCAGAUGUUUUCAGUAAUUGAAAAUUCAAGCUCAGACAGCCCUCCUUCUUGUAAGGCUCCCUUCUCUGGAUCUGCUAUGUCCUUGCUAGAUUUCAGACCUGCCUACCAUGAUUUGCAGACGGUUUUUCUCUGCUGGAAGAAUUGCAAAGCAUCUGUUUUGGUUUCCCUGGUUUGCGACUGAAACGAAUACCUGUACAAACCAAUGCCUGUCUACCCAUGUUGUCAAACUGAACGUUUCCAUGAAGAGGAGCACUUCUCCAAAGCUGUCGCCCAGCCUCGGGGGGAAGGAAGGCGACUUUCAGGCAUGUCACCUAGGGACCCUCCAGAGCUGGGUGGCCACAGCAUGUUACAGAUCACAGUGCGGCGCGGCCAAGAUGCGAGGGGGAGCGAGGAGGGGACUGACUCGUGCUGUUAAUUGCACGGGGACUGCUAUCUCCACAUCUCAAAGGCAGAUUCGACGGCCCCAAAAUCGAGUGUGGAUCCGUGCUGCAAGUGAGGCUGGAGAAGGAGCUGACAGCCUUCCCAAGCUGCAUACCAAAAUCCUCACAUGGCAAAGAGCCUUGAGACAUGCUGCGGAGAGCCGAGAGUGGCGAGGGAGCCCUGAGAACAGCUUACAGGUGGGAGAGGACAGCAGCUCCCCCUGCUCCCACCGCUCUGCUGUCGGAGGUACAGCCAAAACUCUUAACAAGGUGCCCGAGAGGUCUGGUUUUCUCUGUGCCUUCCUCGCAGAGCUUCUGUGCUGCUGCUUCCUCGCUGCUGGACUGUGCUGCACCAGAUCACACAGUAAUUGGACCCAUCUUAAAAACACACACACAAAAACAAACAGAAAACUCCAAACUGUUUUCACUUUUCACAGCGUGUAGAAAGAAAAUAGCGCAAAUACUCGCAAGGACCACACGGAUUUUAUACCCGUUUCUUUUAUGA
rnacentral:lncRNA from 1 species